AGGAAUAUUGGUCAAUGGACGAGAGUCUGAACCAGCCAAGUAGCGUGAAGGAUGACUGCCCUAUGGGUUGUAAACUUCUUUUAUACGGGAAUAAAGUGAGGCACGUGUGCCUUUUUGUAUGUACCGUAUGAAUAAGGAUCGGCUAACUCCGUGCCAGCAGCCGCGGUAAUACGGAGGAUCCGAGCGUUAUCCGGAUUUAUUGGGUUUAAAGGGAGCGUAGGCGGACGCUUAAGUCAGUUGUGAAAGUUUGCGGCUCAACCGUAAAAUUGCAGUUGAUACUGGGUGUCUUGAGUACAGUAGAGGCAGGCGGAAUUCGUGGUGUAGCGGUGAAAUGCUUAGAUAUCACGAAGAACUCCGAUUGCGAAGGCAGCUUGCUGGACUGUAACUGACGCUGAUGCUCGAAAGUGUGGGUAUCAAACAGGAUUAGAUACCCUGGUAGUCCACACGGUAAACGAUGAAUACUCGCUGUUUGCGAUAUACGGCAAGCGGCCAAGCGAAAGCGUUAAGUAUUCCACCUGGGGAGUACGCCGGCAACGGUGAAACUCAAAGGAAUUGACGGGGGCCCGCACAAGCGGAGGAACAUGUGGUUUAAUUCGAUGAUACGCGAGGAACCUUACCCGGGCUUAAAUUGCACUCGAAUGAUCCGGAAACGGUUCAGCUAGCAAUAGCGAGUGUGAAGGUGCUGCAUGGUUGUCGUCAGCUCGUGCCGUGAGGUGUCGGCUUAAGUGCCAUAACGAGCGCAACCCUUGUUGUCAGUUACUAACAGGUGAUGCUGAGGACUCUGACAAGACUGCCAUCGUAAGAUGUGAGGAAGGUGGGGAGGACGUCAAAUCAGCACGGCCCUUACGUCCGGGGCUACACACGUGUUACAAUGGGGGGUACAGAGGGCCGCUACCACGCGAGUGGAUGCCAAUCCCUAAAACCCCUCUCAGUUCGGACUGGAGUCUGCAACCCGACUCCACGAAGCUGGAUUCGCUAGUAAUCGCGCAUCAGCCACGGCGCGGUGAAUACGUUCCCG
rnacentral:rRNA from 1 species